rnacentral:rRNA from 1 species
CCCUUAGAGUUUGAUCCUGGCUCAUAAUGAACGUUGGCGGCGUGGAUUAGGCAUGCAAGUCGUACGGGCCGCAAGGCCAGUGGCGCAAGGGUGAGUAAGGCGACGGUAACCAACCCCAUGAUUGGGUAUAGCCGCGGGAAACUGCGGGUAAUCCCCAGCGACGUCCCGAGGGGGCAUCUCCCCGGGACCAAAGCUCCGGCGUCGUGGGACGGGCCGUCGUGGUAUUAGGUUGUUGGCGGGGUAACGGCCCACCAAGCCUGCGAUGCCUACCGGGCGUGCGAGCGUGGCCCGGCACACUGGGACUGAGACACUGCCCAGACUCCUACGGGAGGCUGCAGUCGAGAAUCUUCGGCAAUGGGCGCAAGCCUGACCGAGCGACGCCGCGUGGAGGACGAAGGCCUUCGGGUUGUAAACUCCUGUCGAGGGGGAAGAAGGCCCCGAAAGGGGCUUGACUGAUCCCUGGAGGAAGCACGGGCUAAGUUCGUGCCAGCAGCCGCGGUAAGACGAACCGUGCGAACGUUAUUCGGAAUCACUGGGCUUAAAGCGCGUGUAGGCGGGACGGCACGUCGGUCGCUGAAAUCCCCCGGCUCAACCGGGGAACGGGCACCGAUACGACCGGCCUGGAGGGACGUAGGGGGACCUGGAACUUCCGGUGGAGCGGUGAAAUGCGUUGAGAUCGGAAGGAACGCCCGUGGCGAAAGCGAGUCCUGGACGUUUACUGACGCUGAGACGCGAAAGCCAGGGGAGCGAACGGGAUUAGAUACCCCGGUAGUCC